AUUGAACGCUGGCGGCAUGCCUUACACAUGCAAGUCGAACGGCAGCACGGGGCAACCUGGUGGCGAGUGGCGAACGGGUGAGUAAUGCAUCGGAACGUGCCAUUGAGUGGGGGAUAACGUAGCGAAAGUUGCGCUAAUACCGCAUAUUCUGUGAGCAGGAAAGCAGGGGACCGCAAGGCCUUGCGCUCUUUGAGCGGCCGAUGUCAGAUUAGCUAGUUGGUGAGGUAACGGCUUACCAAGGCGACGAUCUGUAGCGGGUCUGAGAGGAUGAUCCGCCACACUGGAACUGAGACACGGUCCAGACUCCUACGGGAAGCAGCAGUGGGGAAUUUUGGACAAUGGGCGCAAGCCUGAUCCAGCCAUGCCGCGUGAGUGAAGAAGGCCU
rnacentral:rRNA from 1 species